rnacentral:rRNA from 1 species
GGGGAAUCUUGCACAAUGGGGGCAACCCUGAUGCAGCGACGCCGCGUGAGCGAUGAAGCCCUUCGGGGCGUAAAGCUCUUUCGACCGGAACGAUAAUGACGGUACCGGGAGAAGAAGCUGCGGCUAACUACGUGCCAGCAGCCGCGGUAAUACGUAGGCAGCGAGCGUUGUUCGGAGUUACUGGGCGUAAAGAGUGCGUAGGCGGCGAGCCAAGUUUGGUGUGAAAUCUCCCGGCUUAACCGGGAGGGUGCGCCGAAAACUGGUUGGCUGGAGUAUGGGAGAGNAAAGCGGAAUUCCUGGUGUAGCGGUGAAAUGCGUAGAUAUCAGGAGGAACACCUGCGGUGUAGACAGCUUUCUGGACCAAAACUGACGCUGAGGCACGAAAGCGUGGGUAGCAAACA